GUUCCUAUCGAUUAGUGGUCAGAUCAUCACGUUGUGGCUGCCUUGCAUACGAAACCGUGGAGACGGGGGCUCGACUCCCCCUAGGAACA